rnacentral:rRNA from 1 species
GAUGAACGCUGGCGGCGUGCUUAACACAUGCAAGUCGAACGAUGAAGCCCAGCUUGCUGGGUGGUUUAGUGGCGAACGGGUGAGUAACACGUGAGUAACCUGCCCUUAACUCUGGGAUAAGUCUGGGAAACUGGGUCUAAUACCGGACAGGAGCGUCCACGGCCUGGUUGGUGCUGGAGAGAUUUACCGGUUUUAGAUCGACUCGCGGCUUAUCAGCUCGUUGGUGAGGUAAUGGCUCACUAAGGCGACGACGGGUAGCCGGCCUGAGAGGGUGACCGGCCACAAUGGGACUGAGACACGGACCAGAAUCCUACGGGAGGCAGCAGUGGGGAAUAUUGCACAAUGGGCGCAAGCCUGAUGCAGCGACGCCGCGUGAGGGAUGACGGCCUUCGGGUUGUAAACCUCUUUCAGUAGGGAAGAAGCGAAAGUGACGGUACCUGCAGAAGAAGCACCGGCUAACUACGUG